CGGUGACAACCAAACAAAUAAACAAGACAAUAAGGAAAUAAAUAAGCAAACAACUUACGCUAGACUAUUACGACUACUAGUAAAGUGCACGUGCGUUGCCACGGGUUUUUGAAAUAGUUUACAAGAGUUACAUGUUAAAUUUCAAAUGUACAAACAAUAUAACACAAACACAAUUAUUGAAUAAUUGAAGUCCAUUUUUGCAAUGUAAAUUGAUAACAAAAAGAAAGACUAAUGACAUGUCCAUGUAACAAACUGAGCGAUGCUCGAACUAAACAUCUAUUACAAAACUAUCAAUAUCUAGACGAUGCGUUUAAGAAAUUAUUUCACAAUAUCAUGAAAGUUGUCUUUAGCUUCAUUCCCACGAUGUUUUAGCAAGUAUAAUAAAAACCGCUUCCUCAACUCAUACCCAUCCCGCACAAACAAUAUAUGUAGUUAGUAUGAAAAUUUCACGCCGAAGUUCUUAAAAUAUGUAAUGGACAAUACUCACUGGGCAAACCGGCUUGAUCAAUUCUUUACCGUCCCACUAGAACAUAAAAUCUCCACUACCUAAAAAAACCGUAUGGUUCCGUCUCCUCUCUUACGUCGCUAAGUUUCGUCGGACCUCCCACUUCCGAUAACCCCACACCGCUUCGUCCGCUGGUCCCAUCUUAUGUCCUGGUCUAUCUCCUUAAUCGCCGCCGAAAUCACCAGCCCCCGUUCCCAAAAUCCAUCACGGGAUGUCCUCGCUGCCAACUACAUCUGCUCCCAUCUACCCCGCCGCCCCGUUUCCCCUGAGUCCCCUCUCCCAAACCCCACGGUGAAUUCAGAUCCGACAUUCCGGUCUGGCGGGGAAGGCAGGUAUUGUGGCCAAGCGACAACGAUGAUGAGGAGACAACGAUGAUGAUAAGGAAGACCCUGGGGCCAUGUGACGGGAGCAAGUCACACAGACACAGGCGCUUCCUGACCAGCGGGAGACGCCGCAAUGGCUGCGAGGAGGAGGUUGCCAAGCGGGAGUGAGGAGUCUCCCGUGGUAGCCGGGGCCGCUGCUGAUUCAGACAAGGCGAGUAAGAGGGAUGCAGGCCAUGCCAGGGCCGCGCAGGAGGCGUCCACCACCGUACAACAUGCAUGGAGAUGAGGUGGCGGCUCGAGCUGCAGCGGGCGCGGCCAUACGAGCUCGUCGUCGGGAGGAGGGAGGCCACCGAGGGCAUCUAGCGGCAAAAGGAUCAGCUUUAGGUACAGAUCGAGCCGGUGCUACUGCUCUCUAGGGCUCUUGCCGCGCUGCACAACUACAAAUGCAGGUACGUGUUUCUUUCUCUCCACAUAUACUAAUAGAUUUGGCUGUGUUUUGUCCAAUAACAUCAAUCUCCUCAUUGCAAGAAUCUGAGGAGGGGUUAUCUGUGGAGAAGGCACGGCUUGGAGAUCUGGAGAGGCUGCUUAAGACGAGGCAGUAUUGUAUCCAGAUCCUGCCGAGUUAGACAUGCUGCACACGUUUUAAUGACAUAUCAGAUUUCCAUUCUUGAAGAUCACAUGUGCUUUGUGUCUUAUAUUUUU